CGGAGAAGGCUAUGUUGGCCGGGCGACGGUUGUCCCGGUUUAAGCGUGUAGGCUGGUUUUCCAGGCAAAUCCGGAAAAUCAAGGCUGAGGCGUGAUGACGAGGCACUACGGUGCUGAAGCAACAAAUGCCCUGCUUCCAGGAAAAGCCUCUAAGCAUCAGGUAACAUCAAAUCGUACCCCAAACCGACACAGGUGGUCAGGUAGAGAAUACCAAGGCGCUUGAGAGAACUCGGGUGAAGGAACUAGGCAAAAUGGUGCCGUAACUUCGGGAGAAGGCACGCUGAUAUGUAGGUGAAGUCCCUUGCGGAUGGAGCUGAAAUCAGUCGAAGAUACCAGCUGGCUGCAACUGUUUAUUAAAAACACAGCACUGUGCAAACACGAAAGUGGACGUAUACGGUGUGACGCCUGCCCGGUGCCGGAAGGUUAAUUGAUGGGGUCAGCGCAAGCGAAGCUCUUGAUCGAAGCCCCGGUAAACGGCGGCCGUAACUAUAACGGUCCUAAGGUAGCGAAAUUCCUUGUCGGGUAAGUUCCGACCUGCACGAAUGGCGUAAUGAUGGCCAGGCUGUCUCCACCCGAGACUCAGUGAAAUUGAACUCGCUGUGAAGAUGCAGUGUACCCGCGGCAAGACGGAAAGACCCCGUGAACCUUUACUAUAGCUUGACACUGAACAUUGAGCCUUGAUGUGUAGGAUAGGUGGGAGGCUUUGAAGUGUGGACGCCAGUCUGCAUGGAGCCGGCCUUGAAAUACCACCCUUUAAUGUUUGAUGUUCUAACGUGGACCCGUGAUCCGGGUUGCGGACAGUGUCUGGUGGGUAGUUUGACUGGGGCGGUCUCCUCCUAAAGAGUAACGGAGGAGCACGAAGGUUGGCUAAUCCUGGUCGGACAUCAGGAGGUUAGUGCAAUGGCAUAAGCCAGCUUGACUGCGAGCGUGACGGCGCGAGCAGGUGCGAAAGCAGGUCAUAGUGAUCCGGUGGUUCUGAAUGGAAGGGCCAUCGCUCAACGGAUAAAAGGUACUCCGGGGAUAACAGGCUGAUACCGCCCAAGAGUUCAUAUCGACGGCGGUGUUUGGCACCUCGAUGUCGGCUCAUCACAUCCUGGGGCUGAAGUAGGUCCCAAGGGUAUGGCUGUUCGCCAUUUAAAGUGGUACGCGAGCUGGGUUUAGAACGUCGUGAGACAGUUCGGUCCCUAUCUGCCGUGGGCGCUGGAGAACUGAGGGGGGCUGCUCCUAGUACGAGAGGACCGGAGUGGACGCAUCACUGGUGUUCGGGUUGUCAUGCCAAUGGCACUGCCCGGUAGCUAAAUGCGGAAGAGAUAAGUGCUGAAAGCAUCUAAGCACGAAACUUGCCCCGAGAUGAGUUCUCCCUGACCCUUUAAGGGUCCUGAAGGAACGUUGAAGACGACGACGUUGAUAGGCCGGGUGUGUAAGCGCAGCGAUGCGUUGAGCUAACCGGUACUAAUGAACCGUGAGGCUUAACCUUACAACGCCGAAG
rnacentral:rRNA from 1 species